GCUUAUGGCCAUACAUCCCUGAGCACGCCCGAUCUCAUCUGAUCUCGGAAGCUAAGCAGGGUUGGGCCCGGUUAGUACUUGGAUGCGAGACCGCCUUGGAAUACCAGGUGAUGUAAGAC
rnacentral:rRNA from 1 species